rnacentral:rRNA from 1 species
AUUGAACGCUGGCGGCAUGCUUUACACAUGCAAGUCGAGCGGUAACAGGCCGCAAGGUGCUGACGAGUGGCGAACGGGUGAGUAAUGCAUCGGAACGUGCCCAGUCGUGGGGGAUAACUACUCGAAAGAGUAGCUAAUACCGCAUACGAUCUAUGGAUGAAAGCGGGGGACCGUAAGGCCUCGCGCGAUUGGAGCGGCCGAUGUCAGAUUAGGUAGUUGGUGGGGUAAAGGCUCACCAAGCCAACGAUCUGUAGCUGGUCUGAGAGGACGACCAGCCACACUGGGACUGAGACACGGCCCAGACUCCUACGGGAGGCAGCAGUGGGGAAUUUUGGACAAUGGGCGCAAGCCUGAUCCAGCAAUGCCGCGUGCAGGAAGAAGGCCUUCGGGUUGUAAACUGCUUUUGUACGGAGCGAAACGGCUCUGGUUAAUACCCGGGGCUAAUGACGGUACCGUAAGAAUAAGCACCGGCUAACUACGUG